rnacentral:rRNA from 1 species
UUUCGCAAUGCCCGAAAGGGUGACGAAGCGACGCCGCGUGUGGGAAGAAGGCCUUCGGGUUGUAAACCACUGUCGGGAGUUAGGAAAUGCAGGUGCGUUAAUAGCGCACUUGCUUGACUAAGGCUCCAGGGGAAGCCACGGCUAACUCUGUGCCAGCAGCCGCGGUAAUACAGAGGCGGCAAGCGUUGUUCGGAAUUAUUGGGCGUAAAGAGCACGUAGGCGGCCUUGCAAGUCAGUUGUGAAAGCCUUCCGCUUAACGGAAGAACGGCAUCUGAUACUACAGGGCUUGAGUACGGGAGGGGAGAGUGGAACUUCUGGUGGAGCGGUGAAAUGCGUAGAUAUCAGAAGGAACGCCGGCGGCGAAAGCGACUCUCUGGUCCGAAACUGACGCUGAGUGUGCGAAAGCUAGGGGAGCAAACGGGAUUAGAUACCCCGGUAGUCCUAGCCGUAAACGAUGGGCACUAAGUAGAGGGGUUUU